rnacentral:tmRNA from 1 species
GGGGGUGACCGUUUUGACAGAAAUGUACUUUAAAAGCUGCAAGUCGAGGGUGUCUAAGACCUCGCAAAUCCAUUAGACAAGGCUUUAAAUGCCAACAUAUUUGCCCCUCAAAGGGCACUUGCUUACGCGUAAUAACGCUUAAGCCAUCCCUCUUUUGAGGCUCCAUAGAAAGAGAAGGGUGUCAUUAUGGAGAUAGACUGAGAUGAUAAUUCGGCGUCUUAGUCAAAAUCAAACGAAUUAAAGAUUGAGUACACAAGGUUGCCUUGUUUCCGUACUUAAUCUCAAAUAAACAAGGAUACACUUGUAGAAGCUUUUAAGGAAACCUUCUGGACGGGAAUUCAUCUUCCCCACCUCCACAA